AUUGAACGCUGGCGGCAUGCCUUACACAUGCAAGUCGAACGGCAGCACGGGUGCUUGCACCUGGUGGCGAGUGGCGAACGGGUGAGUAAUACAUCGGGACAUGUUCCGUAGUGGGGGAUAGCCCGGCGAAAGCCGGAUUACUACUGCAUACGAACAGUGGAUGAAAGCGGGGGACUUCCGGACAUCGCGCUUUAGGGUUGGCCGAUGUGUGAUUGGCUAGUUGGAGGGGUAAAGUCCUACCAAGGCGACGCUCAGUAGCUGGUCUGAGAGGACGACCAGCCACACUGGGACUGAGACACGGCCCAGACUCCUACGGGAGGCAGCAGUGGGGAAUUUUGGACAAUGGGCGAAAGCCUGAUCCAGAAAUGCCGCGUGUGUGAAGAAGGCCUUCGGGUUGUAAAGCACUUUUGUCCGGAAAGAAAUCCUUGGCCCUAAUACGGUCGGGGGAUGACGGUACCGGAAGAAUAAGCACCGGCUAACUACGUG
rnacentral:rRNA from 1 species